rfam:Paenibacillus ferrarius strain CY1 CY1_scaffold26, whole genome shotgun sequence.
UUUAUGGAGAGUUUGAUCCUGGCUCAGGACGAACGCUGGCGGCGUGCCUAAUACAUGCAAGUCGA